GCCGUUGUAGCUCAGCCGGUAGAGCAUUCCCAUGGUAAGGGAAAGGUCAGCAGUUCGAAUCUGCUCGACGGCUCCA
rnacentral:tRNA from 1 species